rnacentral:lncRNA from 1 species
AUGUCAAAAAGCCAUUUGUACUUUAAUGGCGGAAGUCUAGAAUACUUUAAACAAAACAAUAAGAAAAAAAGAGACUCUGCAGUCUUAUUUCCUCUAGCUGCAUGAAAAUGUUUGAAUUAAGGAAGAAAUCAAAAGUCCAACCCUAAGGAAAAUGGAAUGUUAACUGCUUUUGAAUUCCCCUAGGCUCGAGAUUCGAGGGUUCUAGACUGUGGAAAAAUUCUUCCUCAGUCCCUGCUAUGAGGCUGUAUUGCAUUGUAGAAAGAGCUAUUGACUCACUUUCAGAGGCUGCAGGCUGGAUCCAAGCUCUGCCACUAACUGACCUAGGCAGGUCCUAAUACCGUCCUUGAAUUCAGUUUCUCCAUCAAGAAAUCAAGGAUCAAAUUAAAUGGUUUCUUCUAGCGUUUUCGUCUGUGACUCAGCGCUCAAUGUAUCUCCAACGGUCUACGCAUAUAUUUGCCUUUCUUCCAAAGCUCUUCUCUGGGUGAAGCUUUGCGUAGAUUCCCUGCAAUACGUCAGGAAAGGAGGACCCUCACGACAAACACGACAUAGUCAUUGAAUUAACAGGAAAAUGGGGAAACUCUGGUGGAACUUUAUAGGGACAACAUCUACUAAAACCGGCUUUUCUUCAACAAAUGAGAAUAUGGAAGUAAUUUUGUGGCUAAUGAACACAGAAUACUUGAGAUAUGCAGCAAGCUGCCAUGUAACUCUAGAUUCCUGAAAUUGGUGGUAUGAAAACAGCUCUAAGGCUGCUUUUGAGCAGGGAUUAUAGUCAAUCCUACACCACUAAAGUAAUUACAGCAGAAAAAAGACCAUUUUCAACAAAGUUGAAGAAUUUCUCUGAUUUGCAUUAAAUAUUUGUCAUUUUCUUGGCUUGUGUUUCUCCUUUCAUCACUGCGCUGUAUGCGAGAUCAUGUGUUUCAAGGCUGGCUCAUUCUCAUUUAGGUUCAAAUCAAAUUCUAC